AACUUGUAGCAACGGAUCUCUUGGUUCUGGCAUCGAUUAAGAACGCAGCGAAAUGCGAUAAGUAAUGUGAAUUGCAGAAUUCAGUGAAUCAUCGAAUCUUUGAACGCACAUUGCGCCCGCCAGUAUUCUGGCGGGCAUGCCUGUUCGAGCGUCAUUUCAACCAUCAAGCCCCCCGGCUUGUGUUGGGGACCUGCGGCUGCCGCAGGCCCUGAAAACCAGUGGCGGGCUCGCUGUCACCCCGAGCGUAGUAAUACAUCUCGCUCUGGGAGUGCUGCGGGUUCCGGCCGUUAAAAGCCUUAUUUACCCAAGGUUGACCUCGGAUCAGGUAGGAAGACCCGCUGAACUUAAGCAUAUCAAUAAGCGGAGGCU
rnacentral:misc_RNA from 1 species